rnacentral:rRNA from 1 species
UUGGGCCUACGGGACGCAGCAGUGGGGGAUAUUGCACAAUGGGGGAAACCCUGAUGCAGCGACGCCGCGUGAGUGAAGAAGUAUUUCGGUAUGUAAAGCCCUAUCAGCAGGGAAGAAAAUGACGGUACCUGACUAAGAAGCCCCGGCUAAAUACAUGCCAGCAGCCGCGGUAAUACGUAUGGGACAAGCGUUAUCCGGAUUUACUGGGUGUAAAGGGAGCGUAGGCGGCCUGGCAAGCCUGAUGUGAAAUACCGGGGCCCAACCCCGGGGCUGCAUUGGGAACUGCCAGGCUGGAGUGCCGGGGG